rnacentral:rRNA from 1 species
GGUGAGGAACACGUGAGGAAUCUGCCUUCCACUCUGGGAUAACUCCGGGAAACCGGGGCUAAUACCGGAUACUUUCAACUGGCGGCAUCGCCGGUUGAAGAAAGUUUUUCGGUGGAAGAUGACCUCGCGGCCNAUCAGCUUGUUGGUGAGGUAAUGGCUCACCAAGGCNACGACNGGUAGCCGGCCUGANAGGGCGACCGGCCACUNUGGGACUGAGACACGGCCCANACUCCUACNGGAGGCA